CGGCCGAUGGUGUAGCGGUCUAACGCAUCUCCGUAUCAAGGAGAAAGACGCGGGUACGAAUCCCGCCUGGUUGC
rnacentral:tRNA from 1 species